rnacentral:rRNA from 1 species
GACUAAGCGUACACGGUGGAUGCCCUGGCAGUCAGAGGCGAUGAAGGACGUGCUAAUCUGCGAUAAGCGUCGGUAAGGUGAUAUGAACCGUUAUAACCGGCGAUUUCCGAAUGGGGAAACCCAGUGUGUUUCGACACACUAUCAUUAACUGAAUCCAUAGGUUAAUGAGGCGAACCGGGGGAACUGAAACAUCUAAGUACCCCGAGGAAAAGAAAUCAACCGAGAUUCCCCCAGUAGCGGCGAGCGAACGGGGAGGAGCCCAGAGCCUGAAUCAGUGUGUGUGUUAGUGGAAGCGUCUGGAAAGGCGCGCGAUACAGGGUGACAGCCCCGUACACAAAAAUACACAUAUUGUGAGCUCGAUGAGUAGGGCGGGACACGUGGUAUCCUGUCUGAAUAUGGGGGGACCAUCCUCCAAGGCUAAAUACUCCUGACUGACCGAUAGUGAACCAGUACCGUGAGGGAAAGGCGAAAAGAACCCCGGCGAGGGGAGUGAAAAAGAACCUGAAACCGUGUACGUACAAGCAGUGGGAGCACGCUUAGGCGUGUGACUGCGUACCUUUU